rnacentral:lncRNA from 1 species
GGAGAUGAUGCAAUGGAUUUUUUUGGGUACGUCCUCAUACUAAUGAUCAUCCAAACUUUGAGACUCUUAAAGGAGAUAUUGCUUUAGUUGGAAUAUGUGAUGAUGGGGCGGCAAGGGAAAGAGCAGACCCAUAUGGAUAGUGUUAUUGUCCUGGUGAGGGAUGUGGGUGGCAAUAUGGAGGUUGCCGAUCUUGGAUCCGAUGCCAUGUAGUUUUGAUUUGGAGUCUCGCUAUAUUACUCAUUAUUUAUGCUUAAUAUAAUAAGUUGGAACGCACGAAGGGCC